UACAAAGGGGGCUAGCGUUGCUCGGAAUGACUGGGCGUAAAGGGCGCGUAGGCGGAUGGCACAGUCAGAUGUGAAAUUCCUGGGCUUAACCUGGGGGCUGCAUUUGAGACGUGUGAUCUGGAGUGAGGAAGAGGGUUGUGGAAUUCCCAGUGUAGAGGUGAAAUUCGUAGAUAUUGGGAAGAACACCGGUGGCGAAGGCGGCGACCUGGUCCUUAACUGACGCUGAGGCGCGAAAGCGUGGGGAGCAAACAGG
rnacentral:rRNA from 1 species